GACGAACGCUGGCGGCGUGCUUGACACAUGCAAGUCGAACGGAAAGGCCCUGCUUUUGUGGGGUGCUCGAGUGGCGAACGGGUGAGUAACACGUGAGUAACCUGCCCUUGACUUUGGGAUAACUUCAGGAAACUGGGGCUAAUACCGGAUAGGAGCUCCUGCUGCAUGGUGGGGGUUGGAAAGUUUCGGCGGUUGGGGAUGGACUCGCGGCUUAUCAGCUUGUUGGUGGGGUAGUGGCUUACCAAGGCUUUGACGGGUAGCCGGCCUGAGAGGGUGACCGGCCACAUUGGGACUGAGAUACGGCCCAGACUCCUACGGGAGGCAGCAGUGGGGAAUAUUGCACAAUGGGCGGAAGCCUGAUGCAGCAACGCCGCGUGCGGGAUGACGGCCUUCGGGUUGUAAACCGCUUUCGCCUGUGACGAAGCGUGAGUGACGGUAAUGGGUAAAGAAGCACCGGCUAACUACGUGCCAGCAGCCGCGGUGAUACGUAGGGUGCGAGCGUUGUCCGGAUUUAUUGGGCGUAAAGGGCUCGUAGGUGGUUGAUCGCGUCGGAAGUGUAAUCUUGGGGCUUAACCCUGAGCGUGCUUUCGAUACGGGUUGACUUGAGGAAGGUAGGGGAGAAUGGAAUUCCUGGUGGAGCGGUGGAAUGCGCAGAUAUCAGGAGGAACACCAGUGGCGAAGGCGGUUCUCUGGGCCUUUCCUGACGCUGAGGAGCGAAAGCGUGGGGAGCGAACAGGCUUAGAUACCCUGGUAGUCCACGCUGUAAACGGUGGGUACUAGGUGUGGGGUCCAUUCCACGGGUUCCGUGCCGUAGCUAACGCUUUAAGUACCCCGCCUGGGGAGUACGGCCGCAAGGCUAAAACUCAAAGGAAUUGACGGGGCCCCGCACAAGCGGCGGAGCAUGCGGAUUAAUUCGAUGCAACGCGUAGAACCUUACCUGGGUUUGACAUGGAUCGGGAGUGCUCAGAGAUGGGUGUGCCUCUUUUGGGGUCGGUUCACAGGUGGUGCAUGGCUGUCGUCAGCUCGUGUCGUGAGAUGUUGGGUUAAGUCCCGCAACGAGCGCAACCCUUGUUCACUGUUGCCAGCACGUUAUGGUGGGGACUCAGUGGAGACCGCCGGGGUCAACUCGGAGGAAGGUGGGGAUGACGUCAAGUCAUCAUGCCCCUUAUGUCCAGGGCUUCACGCAUGCUACAAUGGCUGGUACAGAGAGUGGCGAGCCUGUGAGGGUGAGCGAAUCUCGGAAAGCCGGUCUCAGUUCGGAUUGGGGUCUGCAACUCGACCUCAUGAAGUCGGAGUCGCUAGUAAUCGCAGAUCAGCAACGCUGCGGUGAAUACGUUCCCGGG
rnacentral:rRNA from 1 species